CCUACGGGGGGCUGCAGUGGGGAAUAUUGGACAAUGGGGGCAACCCUGAUCCAGCCAUGCCGCGUGUGUGAAGAAGGCCCUCGGGUUGUAAAGCACUUUCAGUGAGGAAGAACGCCUGGUGGUUAAUACCCAUCAGGAAAGACAUCACUCACAGAAGAAGCACCGGCUAACUCCGUGCCAGCAGCCGCAGGUAAUACGGAGGGUGCGAGCGUUAAUCGGAAUUACUGGGCGUAAAGCGCGCGUAGGUGGCUUGAUAAGCCGGUUGUGAAAGCCCCGGGCUCAACCUGGGAACGGCAGCCGGAACUGUCAAGCUAGAGUGCAGGAGAGGAAGGUAGAAUUCCCGGUGUAGCGGUGAAAUGCGUAGAGAUCGGGAGGAAUACCAGUGGCGAAGGCGGCCUUCUGGACUGACACUGACACUGAGGUGCGAAAGCGUGGGUAGCAAACAGGAUUAGAUACCCGAGUAGUC
rnacentral:rRNA from 1 species